GCCAGGCAUGGUGGCAUACGCCUGUAAUCCCAGGAUUACUCAGGAGGCUGAGGCAGGAGGAUUGCAAGUUCAAAGCCAGUCUCAGCAACUUAGUGAGGCCUUUAGUAACUCAGUGAGACCCUGUCUCUA
rnacentral:sRNA from 1 species